rnacentral:rRNA from 7 species
UUGACCUCGGAUCAGGUAGGGAUACCCGCUGAACUUAAGCAUAUCAAUAAGCGGAGGAAAAGAAACCAACCGGGAUUGCCCCAGUAACGGCGAGUGAAGCGGCAAGAGCUCAAAUUUGAAAUCUGGCCCCUCCGGGGUCCGAGUUGUAAUUUGCAGAGGAUGCUUCGGGUGCGGCCCCUGUCUAAGUGCCCUGGAACGGGCCGUCAGAGAGGGUGAGAAUCCCGUCUUGGGCAGGGUGCCCGUGCCCGUGUGAAGCUCCUUCGACGAGUCGAGUUGUUUGGGAAUGCAGCUCUAAAUGGGUGGUAAAUUUCAUCUAAAGCUAAAUACCGGCCGGAGACCGAUAGCGCACAAGUAGAGUGAUCGAAAGAUGAAAAGCACUUUGAAAAGAGAGUUAAACAGCACGUGAAAUUGUUGAAAGGGAAGCGCUUGCGACCAGACUCGGCCUCGGGGUUCAGCCAGCAUUCGUGCUGGUGUACUUCCCCGGGGCCGGGCCAGCGUCGGUUCGGGCGGCCGGUCAAAGGCCCCAGGAAUGUAUCGUCCUCCGGGACGUCUUAUAGCCUGGGGUGCAAUGCGGCCAGCCUGGACCGAGGAACGCGCUUCGGCACGGACGCUGGCGUAAUGGUCACAAACGACC